rnacentral:rRNA from 1 species
UACGGAGGGUGCGAGCGUUGUCCGGAAUCAUUGGGCGUAAAGGGCGCGUAGGUGGCCCGGUCAGUUCGUGGUGAAAGCGCGGGGCUCAACCCUGCGUCGGCCAUGAAUACUGCCGCGGCUGGAGCACUGUAGAGGCAGGCGGAAUUCCGGGUGUAGCGGUGGAAUGCGUAGAGAUCCGGAAGAACACCGGUGGCGAAGGCGGCCUGCUGGGCAGUUGCUGACGCUGAGGUGCGAAAGCGUGGGGAGCAACAGG